ensembl:lncRNA
GAUGUGGGUGGAGCCAUGUGGACCGGCUGGCCCCGGGCUGAUCGGCUGGGGCUGGUAGGUUGGCUCGGGCUGUGGCUGGGUGGUUCCUCCCUCCUUCCCGCCCGGAGGCGGGCAGUGCUGACGGCUCGUACUGACGCAGGCCCCUGCGUGUGGGCGGCUGCCUAUGGAGAAGCUGAGGCUAGAGUAGGAAUCACAAUGACAGCUGAUACCAAGUGCUGAUGAUGCCCGGCUCUGCUCUAAAUAGAGCGGGUGGAUUUUUCACCUGAUCCUCACCGUAACCCUGCAUGGGAAGGACUGUUGUUAUCAGCUCCAUUUUACAAGUGAGAAAACAAAGUCCAGUGGGUCCAGAGUCACACAACCAAUCAGCGGUGGAGCUGGGAUUCAGAUCCCAGAGACCUGGCUUGGAAGCGCACACUUUCAACCCCAGAGUUGCAAAGGAGCCAGUGGUGGAGUCAGUGGCAGAGCCAGGCCCAGCCAGGUGCCACCUCUUCUAGACAGAAAAGUCAGAAAGCUGGUGAGGGAUCCAGGGUCAAGCACCUCGGCUUAUCCACCAUCUCUGCACUCCAGGGCAGCUCUGUCUCCAGUCCCACCACGCAAGACUUGCCUUCCUUGACAUCUGACAACAUUCAUGUCACCCCAUAAUUCAUAAGGAUCAUCCCAUUCAUCAUCCUAAAGCCUGGAGGUAGGGCACUCCAUAUCAUCACUGAGGCUCAGAGAGGGGGCCGUUGUGAGAAACAAGCAAGAUGUGCAUGUCCAGUGAGGAGCAAGGGCCCUGCCCCUUGUCAGGGCUCGAUUCCCCGCGAAGCAUCUGAAAGAGCACAGGUCCAGGAGCUGUGGUUGGGGGAGCGUGUGCUGAAUACCAAGAAGGAGCCACACGGCAUCCGGUGCCUGGCACCCAGUCCCUCUAGCAGCUUUCCCUUUCCUGUGGUGAAUCACUCCUCACCAACCCUGGGGACUCAGGAGUCCCCAGCUUACCACAAACACUACCAUUGUCAUAGAAACCGGGCCUCCCCUUCCUCUCUGACUGACUGAUUUCACCACAUUGUCCCCCACUCUGUCUCUGG